GAUGAAGAACGUAGCGAAAUGCGAUAAGUAAUGUGAAUUGCAGAAUUCAGUGAAUCAUCGAAUCUUUGAACGCACAUUGCGCCCUCUGGUAUUCCGGGGGGCAUGCCUGUUCGAGCGUCAUUACAACCCUCAAGCUUUGCUUGGUAUUGGACAUUGCCAGUUUCUGGCAGGUCUUAAAAUCAGUGGCGGUGCCAUUUGGCUUCAAGCGUAGUAAUUCUUCUCGCUUUGGAGAUCCAGGUGGUUACUUGCCAAUAACACCCAAUUUUUUCAGGUUGACCUCGGAUCAGGUAGGGAUACCCGCUGAACUUAAGCAUAUCAAUAAGCGGAGGA
rnacentral:misc_RNA from 1 species